GCUAGGAUAGUUCAUUUGAUUCGGGAUUGUUUCGUACGACUCGGAACGAAGUUGGUGAAUACAAAUUUAGAUAUAAUUCCUCAUAUAACUCUAACUCUUGUUAAUAAAAUUACGCGGAGACGGGUAGAGGAUGGCGGAUAAGAAGGACCGCCACUUAAAAGUCGAACCUGGACCGACGUGUAAAACGGUCGAAGCCCGGUGGACGGCGCUAAAGAUUUACUUCCGCCCUUCUCUUAAGGAGAACUUCCUCGAGCUAGACGUUUAACGGCUGGUCCUCUUCUACGGCCGGAACUUUUCCCGGUGGGACGACGAACGAUAACUACGAUCAAAUCCAGUCGGUAAACUGUUGGCCCCUCCUUCCACCCGCCCAUCCAGCCGGCCAGCCAUGGGCGGUAAAAGUAUGACUGCCGGAUGCAACUAUCCCACCGGCCUAGGUGAAUUAACCUAAUCUAGCCGGUAAAUUCACAUACGGUAUUUAUGGGAGAGGGAAUUUGGCCGGCAGGUAGCGCGCUUAAUGAGAAGACAGAGCCUUAAAUAAAAUAAAAUCGAUUCGGCUGACAUCGCGGUUAUAGAUGAAUGGGGCGGAGGGGCACGGGUCGCGCUCCUGCACCGUCGAUUACGCGCUUUUUAUCGGCACCCCCGACCACUAAAAUCCACCGUCGAGGUGGCCACGGACGUAGAAGGUAAGCGGAUCCGGUUAAUCGCCACCUUUAGCCUGGUCGCCGGUGGUGGUAAAAACCAUCCGAGCCGGAAAUUUCCGGACGUCAAUAGCCGAUAAAAGAUCAGAGGUAAGGGAAGGACGGAAUAAACAUUUGGAACGGUCGAUCGGACUUUGGCUGCGGCCCUUUCCACUGCCGUCUAUUUUUAGAAAAGAAAAAUGUCGGAAGGAAAAGACGAACGGACGCUCUGGUGACCGUACCGUUAAAGGCUCCUGGGGAACGGUGGCGCCCGAGUCUAGCCGUCCCUCCGACCUCGGUCUAUUUUUGGCGGGAGAGUGCCUAGUUUCGGCGCACUGUCGGUCGACCUUCUUUUUUUUGGGUCCAUCUAUUCCGGAAAUGGGUCGUACCGGCGGCCACCCAAACCGGUGGCCGAGUCGAUGGACCUAGGUUUUCGAAAUACCGAGGCCGGGCCACCGGCCCAUGGCCAAAUUCCGAAUUAAGAGUCGAAAUCCAGCGCUAGGCCCAGUACCCCUCUCAUCUGCCGAUAUCUCCGUAUUUGAUAUACCCAUCGGACCAAUCUAGUAAAAGGUACUAGUUUCGAUCGGACUAAUAUUAGCCACCGAGAAACCAAUGGCCGAGACCGGUGGUUCAAAUUACAAAAUUCGAAAUCGAUAUCGAUGGGAUAGUAUACAAUAGGAACCCCGGAAAAAAUUGCGAGCCUAUCACCGGAUAUUUGGCGCACUAGUUACCGAAAGAGCCCAAUUCCGGUCUAGUCCGCUAUUUCCCAGAUACGGUUUCUAAGAAAUCUUGGAACCACGGAAACGCCCAUUAGCCCUUUUAAUCGUUUGUGACCGUCUGCGAUUAUCUCGGGCGUCGGUGUCUACUCGGAUGUAGGGGGAGGGUAGUUUAACGGACUCUACCUAACCGCAGGCCGCCUACCGAGAACUUUUAGUUUCGGUCAGGCGAUAAUAUUAUAUAAUUUAGUGGAAAAUUUGCCACCACCGUCUUCCGACUUUGGCUAAAAGCUGGAACCGGAGGCGGCCAUUGGCCGGUCACCAUUCCAAAUCGAAAUAAAAGACAAACUUUUUGGAGGCGGACUACCUUCGACCGUAAUGGGGCUGGAAAUUGAUGCGUACCGAUAAAAUUUAGGGGUGGUGGCCGCAUAUCCCAGUAGUUAACAGCCGGUUUUAAACCGAAAACCCAAACGAUAGCCGGCCGUGGGCCGAGCGGGUAACCGCCGCCGUUCAUAAAAUAAAAGAAUGGUUGUGGCGGAAUCUCGGUAAAAUUUUAUACAACCACCUCCACCUCCGCCACCGCCAUAUUUUUAAACCGACCAAUAUUUAUAUCCCAAUCGAGUACUCGACUUUCUGAGGGUGAAAGCGGUUUUAAAACUGGGGCUAGCCCGCCUUCUACUUGAGGUGGCCGUAGUCUUACCUACUAAAUCCACGCAGUAUAAUUUUGUGUCCGAUUUACGCAAGAUAUGUAUUGAUUCUCAUUAACCACUUACUUAUAUCGUUUUAAGAACAUACACAAAGUAUCGGUGUUGGGUCGGUAGAAAAAUAAUUAGUUGGCCAAGCUGCUUCAUCUUUUUGGCUGAUACUUCGUUUCUUCGGCCUCUCCAACGACCUUCCGACUGUAAUCGGCCUGGUUGGUGCAGUUAGGUUCCACCAGGCCGAUUACACCAACCAGGUCGAAAAAGUCUAGCCUGAACUGAGGAAAUAUACUUUGAAUGAGGUGACGCUUUCCGUAGGUCUCCAUCGGUUCGUUUAUCAAUCCUCUGUAGUGUUCGAAAUUUUUCUUUCCGAGAAAAUUGUUCCGGAAUUAAUUCGAAAGUAUUUUCUGUGUAUCCUUCGAUUUAUUUUCAAAUUUCGUAUCAUUAAGCGUACAGUUUAUUUGUGGGGCGGUGAACACAGCAUCCUUAAUUUUUGCCUGGCUCCAUCUAGGGGAGAUUUUUGUCAGAAGGCGGCGACUUACAGCCUUGGCCGAGAUUUUCGUUAAUACAAACUUUACCUGUAAAGGUGGAAAGUCAACAUCUCGAACAUUUAUCGAUGGCUGGUAAGCAAUUCUUCUGAUCUGGAAUUAAUUUCCUUUUACCGAGCCAGUCUGCUCGAAUGUAAGAAUUAGCUCUGUCAUCGCUAUCCCAUUCGCGUCGAAACACGGCAAAACUCGGUAUCACUCGGUCUCGUACUUAUAAGAAGCCCUAUUACUUUUACAUCCGCACAUAUAUGCCGUUUAUAUUGGCUACAGUCGAUUAAAUUCGACGAGUUACGCAUUGGCCGUUAGGUCUCCUUUAAGAAUGCAGAUCCAGCCGUAGGUACUGAAAGAUAGGUCUUCCCAUUAUAUAGUAGAACUGCCUUUAAACUUAACUCCGAGGAAUGGAUGAAUAAACGUUAAUUGUUGGAUGGUGGGAUUGUCCUAAUGCCGAAAAUAAAUGGUCUAUCUUACUACAGUAAACUUAUAUGGUCGGUACACGAUAUAGUUUAUUGUAUAUUUGAAAUUCUGUUUGUCUGUGUCUAAAUGAUGUUAUAUUUAAUUAUUUUUAUUCGAAAGAUUCCAGCCUGGUAACCAGACCCUAGUAAAACGUCUGGCCAGCCGAAUUAUUGAAUAUUUUAAGAGGUUAAGGCCUCCGAUUAAAACGUUCGGUUGGUCUGGAGUGACCAGAUCCGCUAUAGAUAUCGUGAAACAGGUGAAAUAGGCAUCGACACUGUUUUCGUCGGCUGCCGGUUGGUGGUGGGGUUGACCGUCCGCCUGGUGUCAUCGUUACUCGGUGUUCGGGUUGUCGAUGGGGCGGGAACUAGAGAGAUUAUCACGGUCUUAGAGUGGAAUCUAAAGUUGGAUAGUUAAUUUUAUCUUUUGAUUCGGAAGAGAAGCCUGGCAUCUAUCUAAGACAAAAAAAACAGUCUGUAACGGGAUCUUUCUGUUCCUUCCAUAUCACGAAAAGUGCAAAUAGGUGGAUAUUCUUCUUCCUGGCAGUCAGUUUCUUAUAUUUCUCGAACAUGGGCGCGACAUAUUUUAGAACCCAAGAUUUAUUUCGGUCUGCCACUCGGUAGCCAAAAUACAGUUUAUAGGCUUUGUUCACCAUAGGUGUGAGGUUGCGUUUUGGUGAUUUCGAUGUUAGGCAUUAACAAAGCAUUAGAUAUUUUUCGAGCUAUUUUUAUCCAAAAUUAUUAGUAAAUAAAUAAAGAAAUUUACAAACAAAAAUAAAUACAAUAUUUACUCGGACAAGACUAACGCUGUUACUGUUAGCGAGAAUUCCAAUCCUAUAAAAUUCUAUCAGUUUCUAACAUAAGUUUGGCCCUAUACUAUCAGUUUACCAUAUUACAUUUGACUUUUUUAGAUUGACAAAUUUAAGAAUUCAUUCAAAAAUCAUUUUUCUAACGAAAAAAAAAUGCCAAUAUGGUAGAAAAACUUGGAUUAAAAACACGGCCAUAAUACGAAUAAAAUAUUACUAUCUAUUGAGACUUUCAGCCGAAAAUACUUAAUAAAGAAUCGCUUUUCGUAGUUAAGAGAACAGAAUGCCUAUCGAGCAAAUUUUACUCGCCACCCAGUUGGCUGGAGAUGGAAAAUACACUCGGUAUAGUGUCGAUUUGAUUGGGUUUUACGGAAUUGGCCCCUGGAAAAAUAAGGACUUGGUGGUCCCUUCUUUACUCGGAUAGCGGAAAAAGUCUUUUCCCGGUAAUUGGCAGGUGAAGAAAAACCCAGUUAUCGGUCGAUAAAAGAAUAGUAGCGUUCUUUGAUUUUUCCGGCCCAUCCAUCAACUUUGGGCAUUUAGUGGUCGGUUGGGUGGUCUAAUCUUUUGUUCCUUUCCGGACGCUUUAACUAAUAAGUAAGUGUAAUGAGCCGAGAGCCGACUGUCCUCCACCUGUCGAAGGUACUCCGCACGCCGAAUGAAUGAUGUUUCCCGGUGGUGUAGACAGGUGUCGGUUUUCUUGCCGGCCACGGUUACGGCCCGUAUACGCGAGGUAAAAGGGUGUCGGACCGUCAAACCCGAUGCGUCCUUCCUAAAAUGGUUACGCUGGAGGAAGUAUACGAAAAACCCAAGAAUAAAACGGUUUAAAAUAUCUGGCUGCCAAAAAUCCUAAUAUAUCCUAUUUUACUUUAACCGCAUCGACGGGUAAUCCCUUAACAUUUUCGUCACCAUCUAUUAGAUUAUUCUUUUUCCAUUUCCGUGUAAUAAUUACUAUCUGUGGGAAGUAUGGCUUUCUUAAAAUUAAUAUUAACCAAAGGAUUGCUAGUAACGUCUCUUAUUUACGUGUCGAUAUUUCUUUCCUGCGCUAUGGGAAACGGCUCUAAACUUUUAUUAUCUAUUCCGCUAAAAUUCAGAAAAAGAUAUCGUGUGCAACGGCACCCAUUGGCUGUAAAUAAUGCGCUGGGCCAUGGCCUUCCAUCGAAAUUCCACCGAAACUACUACUCGGUCCAUCGACUUUUAGUCUAUUUUCCCCCAAUGACACGGACCCGAUGACCGCCUGUCUCUGGCUAAUAACUUUUAUAACUAAUUUCUAUAUUUUCACCAAAUUUCCUAGCUCCCACUCGAAAUAAGCCGCGGCCGGAUGGCCGACUGGUCACGUUGCCGCCUGUCAGGAGGGAGGACCCGGGCUAUCCUCCCGGGUCUGGUAACUCCCGAAUAGUUUUUUCGGAGUACCGGGCCCGGCCCGGCCAUCCCCGUCCUUCAUCAUCCGGUUCCUAUCCACCGGUGUGCUAUAGCCCGUGGUGGGAACUGGCC
rnacentral:lncRNA from 1 species